GCAGAGAUCAAAACUCGUACCUUUUGCAUCAUGAUCUAGCCAGUACCCCNCAAGCGAAGAGUCCUCUAGUUUGACCCCCCGAAACCAGACGAGCUACUCCGGGACAGCCUAUUUAGGGCCAACCCGUCUCUGUGGCAAAAGAGUGGGAAGAUCCCCGAGUAGAGGUGAAAGACCUACCGAGUCCGGUUAUAGCUGGUUGCUUAGGAAAUGGAUAGAAGUUCAGCCCCGCAAGCCCUUAGCCACAACAGUUUUACUCAAAGAAGGUGGAAGGACACAUCAGGGAGUUAGUCAAGGGAGGUACAGCUCCCUUAACAAAGGACACAACCUUCACAGGAGGCUAAGGAAUACACUAAACCAAGGCCACAGGCUUCAGUGGGCCUAAAAGCAGCCACCUGAGUAGAAAGCGUUAAAGCUCAUGCCAACUCGAGCCUAUUAUCUCAUCAAUUACCCUCCAUGCCCCUCACCAAUACUAAGCCCUCCUAUGCCUUCAUGGGAGAGACCAUGCUAGAACGAGUAAUAAGAAGAACGCACUUCUCCCUGCACACGUGUAAGUCGAAUCGGACUCCCCAUCGACAAUUAACGAACCCAACAAAAGAGGACCAUGCGUCGUAGCCGCACCAGGCCAAGAAAAGCGCGCAAGCCCUGAUCGUUACCCCCACACAGGAGUGCCCAUAGCCAAGGGAAAGACUCAACGAAUAAAAAGGAACUCGGCAAACACAAACCUCGCCUGUUUACCAAAAACAUCGCCUCCUGCCCAUCCGCCAGUAUAGGAGGUCCCGCCUGCCCUGUGACCACA
rnacentral:rRNA from 1 species